AUCACCGACAGCAAGCUGCCGGAUAUGCAGGCGGGUUGGGAACAGGCGAUCACCAAUACGCUGGCCGGGCUGUCGGGGCUGAACAUGUGCUACGAGGCGG
rfam:Rhodobacteraceae bacterium GWF1_65_7 gwf1_scaffold_1944, whole genome shotgun sequence.